UAUGGCCAAAUCAUGUUGAAACACCGUUUCUCGUACGAUCACCGAAAUUAAGCAACGUCGAGUCUGAUUAGUAUCUAUAACGGUGACCGCUUGGGACGACCAGGUGCUGUAA